rnacentral:misc_RNA from 1 species
GAUGAAGAACGUAGCGAAAUGCGAUAAGUAAUGUGAAUUGCAGAAUUCAGUGAAUCAUCGAAUCUUUGAACGCACAUUGCGCCCGCCAGUAUUCUGGCGGGCAUGCCUGUUCGAGCGUCAUUUCAACCAUCAAGCCCCAGGCUUGUGUUGGGGACCUGCGGCUGCCGCAGGCCCUGAAAACCAGUGGCGGGCUCGCUGUCACACCGGGCGUAGUAGAUUUUAUCUCGCUCAGGGCGUGCUGCGGGUUCCGGCCGUUAAAAAGCCUUUUUUACCCAAGGUUGACCUCGGAUCAGGUAGGAAGACCCGCUGAACUUAAGCAUAUCAAUAGCGGAGGA